ensembl:rRNA 5S_rRNA 5S ribosomal RNA
UCUGAAGCUGGACAUUUGUAUCUGAGAAUGGCCAGUCUCGUCCGAUCUCAGAAGCUAAGAAGGGUUGGGCCCAGUUAGUACUUAGAUGGGAGACCGCCUGGGACUACCAGAAACUUUAGGG